rnacentral:lncRNA from 1 species
GGCAGCAAGGAAGCGAGGUAAAGAGCUCAAACAAAGAAGAAAAGGAUUGAUGAAAGAGCUUUGGUAUAUGCAUUCAAUGGACAAAUUCAGCUUGGAAGAGCUUGAAGUUUUGGAUGCUGGUAUGAAGGCCUUGUGGAAUGAUGUUGCCGAACUUGCAAAGAAGCUAAAGAAGGAACAAGGUAACUCGAGUUCAGCUGAGGGUUCUCCAAGGGAUGACGGGAUGUU